UACGGAGGGUGCAAGCGUUAUCCGGAUUUAUUGGGUUUAAAGGGUCCGUAGGCGGAUCUGUAAGUCAGUGGUGAAAUCUCGCAGCUUAACUGUGAAACUGCCAUUGAUACUGCAGGUCUUGAGUAAAGUAGAAGUGGCUGGAAUAAGUAGUGUAGCGGUGAAAUGCAUAGAUAUUACUUAGAACACCAAUUGCGAAGGCAGGUCACUAUGUUUUAACUGACGCUGAUGGACGAAAGCGUGGGGAGCGAACAGG
rnacentral:rRNA from 1 species